CAGAGUUUAACUCACACCAUCUUGAUUUCUCAAGUUAACAGACAUCAUGAGAUUCCAAUCCCUUAGUCUCGUCUUCCUUAUUUUGUUUGCUUCUGCCACUCUGAAUCAAGCUAUACCAGGAGGUUGGACUCCCAUAAAGAACAUCACUGAUCCAUAUGUGAUUGAAAUAGCCCGUUUCGCAGUUGUCGAGUACAACAAGCAAAAAGGAGCAACAUUGGAGUUUGAGAAAC